GUGCACUGUCAAGUGACUUGAUAGCCUUUCCCCUGGCCUUUAGGUCUCAUUCCAGUGCUAGAUUAACCCCAGCUUGCAGAAGGGCUGGGCUUAUGAUUAGUAGCUUCUCCCUUUCGAAGGUUGGGUACAAGU